rnacentral:rRNA from 1 species
UACGUAGGCAGCAAGCGUUGUUCGGAGUUACUGGGCGUAAAGGGUGUGUAGGCGGUCUUCUAAGUUUGGUGUGAAAUCUCCCGGCUCAACUGGGAGGGUGCGCCGAAAACUGGGAGGCUAGAGUACUGGAUGGGAGAGUGGAAUUCCUGGUGUAGCGGUGAAAUGCGUAGAUAUCUGGAGGAACACCGGUGGCGAAAGCGGCUCACUGGACCCGAUCUGACACUGAUGUGCGAAAGCUAGGGUAGCAAACGGG